GAUGAACGCUAGCUACAGGCUUAACACAUGCAAGUCGCGUGGCAGCAUGGGGGUUGCUUGCAAUCCCCGAUGGCGACCGGCGCACGGGUGAGUAACGCGUAUCCAACCUGCCCUUCACCACGGGAUAACCCGGCGAAAGUCGGACUAAUACCGUAUGUUGUCCAUUGACGGCAUCCGAUUUGGACGAAAGGUUUGGCGGUGAAGGAUGGGGAUGCGUCCGAUUAGCUGGACGGCGGGGUGACGGCCCACCGUGGCGACGAUCGGUAGGGGUUCUGAGAGGAAGGUCCCCCACACUGGAACUGAGACACGGUCCAGACUCCUACGGGAGGCAGCAGUGAGGAAUAUUGGUCAAUGGGCGUAAGCCUGAACCAGCCAAGUAGCGUGCAGGAGGACGGCCCUAUGGGUUGUAAACUGCUUUUAUGCGGGGAUAAAGUGGCCCACGUGUGGGUUUUUGCAGGUACCGCAUGAAUAAGGACCGGCUAAUUCCGUG
rnacentral:rRNA from 1 species